UGAACAACGAGAGAAGCGCUCCCCGCACUCGCGGGCGCCAUGUUCGCGCCGGGGGCGGCCGGGCUGGGCGGGGGAAGGGCGGCCUGGCAGUUGGACACGGCGGUGAGCUCGGGCUGGACGUGCUCCGACGGCCCCACAAAAGGCAGAAGUGCGGUGGGCUUUGGGAUCGCUCCCUCCGGGGGACGCGCUUUGUAAUAUCGAUGCCUGACCCCACGGUACCCCACGAAGCAUUCCCUCCCGACCCGGAGGAGAGCAGGAUGGGCAUAAGCGGCCGAAGCCACAGUGCGCUCCCAGCGGGGACACGAAGUCAGCCAGAGCCGCUCCUUCCCGGGCCCGCAGGGCCGGUGCUGUCCCGAAGGUCCCCGCUCCCCUGCGGACUGCGGAACAAAGACGGGCCGGCCCAGCUCCACCCUGCACAUCUCUGUAGUAUUGGGCUUUUCCCCCUUUCCCCCCCUCUUUGCCCUGUUUUCCAGCCUGCAGUUACUGAAGGUCAGAUGGAGAGGUCAUGGCUCUGCAUCCCCUAUAAAUAGAUUUUGAUAUUUAGACAGCUAUUGCUACUCAAUAUUAACUUACAGGAUAAUGGCGAGAGAUACCGUAUGCACUGAACCUGUUAUUCACGAGUGAGCAGCAUCUGUCGAAUACAAUUCUCGUCUUUUCGCCCUGUUUGGCCAUAGCGCAAUCAAUAGGGCGAAGGACGUCUUGGGGCUGGGCUGGGGACAGCAAGUGGGGCGCCGGCAGCGAGUGCAGCACUGACACCGCAAAAGGGCUUGGGAGGGCUGAGGUCGAGAGCCAGGUGGGCACGGAGCGGCUCCGAGAGGGGAGAGGAACCGAUGCGAGAGCGUCUGGCAGGGAGCUGCCAGCAGCACAGCUCUGCCUUUAUUCUGGAACUGGAAAAUACGAUCAGUGGUGCUGGGGUGGAGGGGUCUCCCCUCCGAACGUCCACAGCCCCAUUUUCUUGGUUCUGGAUUUAAGGAUGGUGGAUUCCAGGUAGAUUCGAAACAGACACGUAGUGCUCACCUCUUAUCCUCCCGUUGUUCAAGGGAAGGGGAGGCACUCAGGGCUGCGGAGCGAGCAGUAGGAAUUUUAUUUCCAUAUUUCCAUUUUCCAGAGCAUCCUCUCCUUACUGACCCGACAUCCUCUCUGUCUUCUGCCACCUGCAAGCAUUUUUAUUUUUUUUUUUCCCCUCGGUGCAAUUAAAAUGAAAUUCACGCCCGGGACUCCCGUUGAGGCUUUAAGGCAAACAGCCGCACGCCGGGACGCGCUGAGCGGAGCCCCCCCGCAGCUGUGUCCGCCGGUGCGGCCCCGAGUGUCACCGUCGGGGCAACGGCUGCGACCGGGGGCAGCCCGAAAGCUGCGCUCCGCUCCUACGGGCGGAAAAAGCCCCGCGCCAGCUGCGAGAGCUCAGCUUUGGGAAGGAAUAUGCAGCAGAAAGUGCUGUGGCAGGACGGGAAAAGAGUUCGUCCUCCUGCCCGCAUUCCGUCUGGGCACUGGGGGGUCGUGAAGGAGGGAGAUUUUUGCUCUCGUGUGAAGCCGGUGGUUCAAAACGGCAGCGUGAGGACGGGGAAAGAGAAGAGGGGCGGUGGUUCCAUUGAGCCCAUGGAGCUCUGAAACGAAGUUGGCGAGCUGUGAUUCUCCCCCUUCUCUCGUUUGUGGGAUAGCAUCUAGUGGUUGUGAGCGUGUGCCUCUGUUUGCUGGGGGUGUCCUUUCAGAAAAGGGAUUAUUACAAAGAAAGAGACACCAAAGAGGCAGCUUUCAGACGCCUCGGCACUCAAAGCCCCGUGAUUUAAAAACCAGCCCGAGCAGCAAAGAAACAAACUUUGCGUCCAACUUCCCCGACGUUUCUCUAAGCGAGAACCCGACCGGGAAGCCGCGGGAUUUGUGUCCUCGGGAUGCUGAGCGGCCACCGGCACCGGGGGGCAGCGGGAGGCAGAAGGCGCUGCCUUGCCCCGGAGCCGAGAUGAGUACCCUCCGAGGAGGGAGAGCGCGGGUGCCGAGAGCCCGACCGGAGGGGCAAACGCGACUGUUUCGGGUGGUUUCUUGGCCGGCCGCGGGCAGGGUGUGCCGGCUUCCCCCGGCGCUUCUCCCCUGCCGGCGAGGUCUGUGCGCCGGGCUCGGCGUAGGAGCCCCAUCCCGGCCCGAGGGCUGCAGGAUAAGGAUGUUCCCUUUCUUCCCCCGUCUCAGGGCUUUUCUUGCCCCGAAGUAGUUCGUCCUGCUUAGGGUGAGCCGUUACAGAAGUUGUCCCCGUAAGUGAAAUCAGAGUUUUAGUGAGAUGCAGUGCCCAUAUAUUUUUAACCACGGUGAUUACUAAAUUAAUAGCAGGCCCUAAGACAGAUGUCAAAACGUCUUGAAAAUGUUUAUCUGUGAAUAAUUGAGAAGGUGGUAAGACGCAUUAUCUGAUUGUAUAAUGAAAUAUGUAUGAGGAACAGCUGUUUGCAAUAGUCAUCUCCCGUUGUUUCAUUAGCCUAGAGCCUCCUCUUUAAAGAGGCGCUCCCCUACAGCUGGCCAUUCAGCGUCGGCCACCUCCACGAGCGGCUGCGGCCGGGCUGUGCCCGCUGAAACCGCAGCGGCGAUGGGGAGCCCGGAGCUGCCCCUAUCCCUUCCCCGGGGCCGCCUCGUAUUUUCUCGCUCCGAGGGCGGAGAGGGAGCGCGAGUGGGGCCAGAAGAUUUCUUGCCGUGUAAUCUCAAUCUGAAGAGGGUGUCCCGGGAGGAAGGCUCCGAGGCGCUCACCUCGGAAGAGCAGCAAACAGCUAUUUAUGAAGAUUUCAUACCGAGCAGCGACAGCCUUCUUGGCUGCUUAGUGUUGACAUAAACUUCCAGACGUCGAGCAUAUGCUGUUGCCCAGCGUUGUUUAUGUGUGCUACCAGAUGUUGCUUUGCAUCCUAUUGUCUGGAGACAAUGUUUAGUUCAGGUUAAAAUAUCUUUACUUAAACUGCUCAGUUGGCCAUUGUGUGAGCAUUAGUGAAGUGUCAUGGAGAGGUAAUGGGAAGUCCGGGGAGGUUAGCGCUCCGAGCGUGCCCGGGAGGUCCCUGGUUCAUGGUGGGGUUACAGUCACCACUGUCAUCUUUUGUUUUCCCUCCUCAGAGAACCCUUGUCCUUCCUCUAAAAGGAUGUGCCCUGUUCUCCUUCCCUUCGGAGCUUUCUCCGCCGGUUUCACGAAGGGGCCCGAUGUUUGUUUUUCUAUUCCCCUAAAUCGCCCGAAAGAGGAAAGGAAAGAAUCUUUCUGCGUCACCGCCACCCCGGGCCGGGCGGAGCGGGGCGGCCCCACGCCUCUGAUCGGGGGCUGGGGGCGCCGCGGGGAAAUCGGCUGCGGCCGCGGAGUUCAUGCUCCAAGCGGGUCAGCGGCUGCCACCCCGCAAA
rnacentral:lncRNA from 7 species